rnacentral:ncRNA from 2 species
AGGUAUAACUUCAAAACAACUCGUAUAAUAUUGGGAAUAUGGCCCAUAAGUUUCUACCGGAUGACCAUUGCAAUUAUCCGACUAUGAGUGAGAUCGCAUCCGGA